rnacentral:other from 1 species
GAUGGCCUGCGACGCAGGUGGUCGUUGCGAAAGCCUAUUUGAACCAACACUGGAUCCCAGGGCGCCUGCGUUGCCCUGCCCUUGUGCAUGUCCCGGCCGGCUUGCCGGAGCGGGAAAGCCUUAAAGCAGGCGCUGGGCGCCCGACUUUGCGAGUGGGGUUCAGGGCCUAGCACGCACGGCGGAGCGGACCGCUC